rnacentral:rRNA from 1 species
CCUACGGGAGGCAGCAGUGGGGAAUAUUGGGCAAUGGAGGCAACUCUGACCCAGCAACGCCGCGUGAAUGAUGAAGGUCUUCGGAUUGUAAAGUUCUUUUCUAAGGGAAGAAGAAAGUGACGGUACCUUAGGAAUAAGCCUCGGCUAACUACGUGCCAGCAGCCGCGGUAAUACGUAGGAGGCAAGCGUUAUCCGGAAUGACUGGGCGUAAAGGGUGCGUAGGCGGAAGAUCAAGUCAGCGGUAAAAUUGAGAGGCUCAACCUCUUCGAGCCGUUGAAACUGGUUUUCUUGAGUGAGUGAGAAGUAUGCGGAAUGCGUGGUGUAGCGGUGAAAUGCAUAGAUAUCACGCAGAACUCCGAUUGCGAAGGCAGCAUACCGGCGCUCAACUGACGCUCAUGCACGAAAGUGUGGGUAGCGAACAGGAUUAGAUACCCUUGUAGUC